rnacentral:rRNA from 1 species
AUUGAACGCUGGCGGCAUGCCUUACACAUGCAAGUCGAACGGCAGCACGGGUGCUUGCACCUGGUGGCGAGUGGCGAACGGGUGAGUAAUACAUCGGAACAUGUCCUGUAGUGGGGGAUAGCCCAGCGAAAGCCGGAUUAAUACCGCAUACGAUCUACGGAUGAAAGCGGGGGACCUUCGGGCCUCGCGCUAUAGGGUUGGCCGAUGGCUGAUUAGCUAGUUGGUGGGGUAAAGGCCUACCAAGGCGACGAUCAGUAGCUGGUCUGAGAGGACGACCAGCCACACUGGGACUGAGACACGGCCCAGACUCCUACGGGAGGCAGCAGUGGGGAAUUUUGGACAAUGGGCGAAAGCCUGAUCCAGCAAUGCCGCGUGUGUGAAGAAGGCCUUCGGGUUGUAAAGCACUUUUGUCCGGAAAGAAAUCCUUGGCUCUAAUACAGUCGGGGGAUGACGGUACCGGAAGAAUAAGCACCGGCUAACUACGUG